rnacentral:lncRNA from 1 species
UGUUAUCGAGUCUGAGAGAAAACCUUGAGUGUCCUUGUAAUUUGUGAGUGUUCCAUAUAAAUAAAAUAUCCCCCUUUGUAUAAUCAUCUCUUCCAUCCUAUAAAUACCCUUAUUAAUACUCUUGAUCCUUAUAAACCUUCUUUGUGAUUGUACCCACAAUGUGUCUGUAAAUUUGGUAGCAAACGCCCUUCAACAAAAGCUGACUGGGUUGGAGCUAUAAACGGAGGGAGCAACACCUUUAGUCGAUUUGCCAAGAUCUUGGCUAUGAUCUUGUAAAUCACAUUACAACAUACUAUCGGCCUGUAAUCUUUCAUGAGCAGCGCUAGGG